UACGGGGGGAGCAAGCGUUGUUCGGAUUUACUGGGCGUAAAGGGCGCGUAGGCGGCCACCGCAAGUCGACUGUGAAUCUCCGGCUUAACCCGGAAAGGUCAGCCGAUACUGCGGGGCUAGAGUGCAGAAGGGGCAACUGGAAUUCUCGGUGUAGCGGUGAAAUGCGUAGAUAUCGAGAGGAACACCUGCGGCGAAGGCGGGUUGCUGGGCUGAUACUGACGCUGAGGCGCGAAAGCUAGGGGAGCGAACGGG
rnacentral:rRNA from 1 species